rnacentral:rRNA from 1 species
CGGGUGAGUAACACGUGGAUAACCUACCUAUAAGACUGGGAUAACUUCGGGAAACCGGAGCUAAUACCGGAUAAUAUUUUGAACCGCAUGGUUCAAAAGUGAAAGACGGUCUUGCUGUCACUUAUAGAUGGAUCCGCGCUGCAUUAGCUAGUUGGUAAGGUAACGGCUUACCAAGGCAACAUGCAUAGCCGACCUGAGAGGGUGAUCGGCCACACUGGAACUGAGACACGGUCCAGACUCCUACGGGAGGCAGCAGUG